rnacentral:rRNA from 1 species
UACGGAGGGUGCAAGCGUUAUCCGGAUUUACUGGGUUUUAAAGGGUGUGUAGGCGGGCCAUUAAGUCAGGGGUGAAAUCCCGGAGCUCAACUCCGGAACUGCCUUUGAUACUAUUGGUCUUGAAUGUUGUUGAGGUGGGCGGAACGGGUCAUGUAGCGGUGAAAUGCAUAGAUAUGACCCGGAACACCGAUUGCGAAGGCAGCCCGCUAAGCAACUAUUGACGCUGAGGCACGAAAGCGUGGGGAUCAAACAGG